rnacentral:rRNA from 1 species
UACGAAGGGGCUAGCGUUGCUCGGAAUUACUGGGCGUAAAGCGCACGUAGGCGGGUCGCUAAGUCGGGGGUGAAAUCCUGGAGCUCAACUCCAGAACUGCCUUCGAAACUGACGAUCUUGAGUUCGGGAGAGGUGAGUGGAACUGCGAGUGUAGAGGUGAAAUUCGUAGAUAUUCGCAAGAACACCAGUGGCGAAGGCGGACUCACUGGCCCGAUACUGACGCUGAGGUG